UACGUAGGGUGCGAGCGUUAAUCGGAAUUACUGGGCGUAAAGCGUGCGCAGGCGGUUUUGUAAGCCAGAUGUGAAAUCCCCGGGCUCAACCUGGGAACUGCAUCCGAAACUGACUUGCUAGAGUAUGGGAGAGGGAGGCGGAAUUUCUGGUGUAGCAGUGAAAUGCGUAGAUAUCAGAAGGAACAUCAGUGGCGAAGGCGGCCUCCUGGACCAAUACUGACGAUCAGGUGCGAAAGCGUGGGGAGCAAACAGG
rnacentral:rRNA from 1 species